rnacentral:rRNA from 1 species
CCUACGGGAGGCAGCAGUAGGGAAUCUUCCGCAAUGGACGAAAGUCUGACGGAGCAACGCCGCGUGAACGAUGAAGGCCUUCGGGUCGUAAAGUUCUGUUGUCAGGGAAGAACAAGUACCGGAGUAACUGCCGGUACCUUGACGGUACCUGACCAGAAAGCCACGGCUAACUACGUGCCAGCAGCCGCGGUAAUACGUAGGUGGCAAGCGUUGUCCGGAAUUAUUGGGCGUAAAGCGCGCGCAGGCGGUUCCUUAAGUCUGAUGUGAAAGCCCCCGGCUCAACCGGGGAGGGUCAUUGGAAACUGGGGAACUUGAGUGCAGAAGAGGAGAGCGGAAUUCCACGUGUAGCGGUGAAAUGCGUAGAGAUGUGGAGGAACACCAGUGGCGAAGGCGGCUUUCUGGUCUGUAACUGACGCUGAGGCGCGAAAGCGUGGGGAGCAAACAGGAUUAGAUACCCUGGUAGUCCACGCCGUAAACGAUGAGUGCUAAGUGUUAGGGGGUUUCCGCCCCUUAGUGCUGCAGCUAACGCAUUAAGCACUCCGCCUGGGGAGUACGGCCGCAAGGCUGAAACUCAAAGGAAUUGACGG